rnacentral:rRNA from 1 species
UACGUAGGGUGCAAGCGUUGUCCGGAAUUGUUGGGCGUAAAGAGCUUGUAGGCGGUUUGUCGCGUCUGCUGUGAAAUUUCGGGGCUCAACCCCGAACUUGCAGUGGGUACGGGCAGACUAGAGUGUGGUAGGGGAGACUGGAAUUCCUGGUGUAGCGGUGAAAUGCGCAGAUAUCAGGAGGAACACCGAUGGCGAAGGCAGGUCUCUGGGCCAUAACUGACGCUGAGAAGCGAAAGCAUGGGGAGCGAACAGG